rnacentral:rRNA from 1 species
AUGGUACUUCUACCAAAAACUCAGGCACCAACUGCUCCUGAUGCGUUUAGGCCUAUAUCCCUCCAGAACUGCACGCCAAAGGUAGUUGCCAAAUUCCUCACAAAUAGAGUUAAACCUCUCAUAUCGCUUCUCAUUCACUACAAUCAGACGGGCUUCCUUCAUGGCCGUAACAUAGCCGAAAACUUCAUUUAUGCUGCUGACAUUCUCAGUACGUGCCACACUCGCAAAGCCCCGACCAUGGUUUUUAAGUUGGAUUUCAGGAAAGCAUUUGAUUCCAUAUGCUGGUCCUCCCUCUUACAAAUUCUAAUUGCCUGUGGCUUCCCUGCCAUCUUCUGCGAUUGGGUCCAAAAUAUCCUCUCCACUGGAAAAACGACUAUUCUUUUGAAUGGUGUACCAGGGCCAUGGAUUCAAUGUCGAUGUGGACUUAGACAAGGGGACCCACUCUCACCGUAUCUGUUCAUCAUCGUCGCGGAUGUUCUCCAAAGAUUAAUC